GGGUUGUGAGGUUAAGCGACUAAGCGUACACGGUGGAUGCCCUGGCAGUCAGAGGCGAUGAAGGACGUGCUAAUCUGCGAUAAGCGCCGGUAAGGUGAUAUGAACCGUUAUAACCGGCGAUUUCCGAAUGGGGAAACCCAGUGUGACUCGUCACACUAUCAUUAACUGAAUCCAUAGGUUAAUGAGGCGAACCGGGGGAACUGAAACAUCUAAGUACCCCGAGGAAAAGAAAUCAACCGAGAUUCCCCCAGUAGCGGCGAGCGAACGGGGAGGAGCCCAGAGCCUGAAUCAGCAUGUGUGUUAGUGGAAGCGUCUGGAAAGGCGCGCGAUACAGGGUGACAGCCCCGUACACAAAAGCGCAUGUGCUGUGAGCUCGAUGAGUAGGGCGGGACACGUGGUAUCCUGUCUGAAUAUGGGGGGACCAUCCUCCAAGGCUAAAUACUCCUGACUGACCGAUAGUGAACCAGUACCGUGAGGGAAAGGCGAAAAGAACCCCGGCGAGGGGAGUGAAAAAGAACCUGAAACCGUGUACGUACAAGCAGUGGGAGCACCCUUUGGGGUGUGACUGCGUACCUUUUGUAUAAUGGGUCAGCGACUUAUAUUCUGUAGCAAGGUUAACCGAAUAGGGGAGCCGGAGGGAAACCGAGUCUUAAUUGGGCGUUAAGUUGCAGGGUAUAGACCCGAAACCCGGUGAUCUAGCCAUGGGCAGGUUGAAGGUUGGGUAACACUAACUGGAGGACCGAACCGACUAAUGUUGAAAAAUUAGCGGAUGACCUGUGGCUGGGGGUGAAAGGCCAAUCAAACCGGGAGAUAGCUGGUUCUCCCCGAAAGCUAUUUAGGUAGCGCCUCGUGAAUUCAUCUCCGGGGGUAGAGCACUGUUUCGGCUAGGGGGCCAUCCCGGCUUACCAACCCGAUGCAAACUGCGAAUACCGGAGAAUGUUAUCACGGGAGACACACGGCGGGUGCUAACGUCCGUCGUGAAGAGGGAAACAACCCAGACCGCCAGCUAAGGUCCCAAAGUCAUGGUUAAGUGGGAAACGAUGUGGGAAGGCCCAGACAGCCAGGAUGUUGGCUUAGAAGCAGCCAUCAUUUAAAGAAAGCGUAAUAGCUCACUGGUCGAGUCGGCCUGCGCGGAAGAUGUAACGGGGCUAAACCAUGCACCGAAGCUGCGGCAGCGAACGUAUCACUUAAAGCGAUUCAGCGGAUGACGAUUGACGGAGCGAAGCGACGUCAAAGCGUAUACAAAGUCGAGUCGGUUUAAGGAUACGUUCGUUGGGUAGGGGAGCGUUCUGUAAGCCUGCGAAGGUGGCCUGUGAGGGUUGCUGGAGGUAUCAGAAGUGCGAAUGCUGACAUAAGUAACGAUAAAGCGGGUGAAAAGCCCGCUCGCCGGAAGACCAAGGGUUCCUGUCCAACGUUAAUCGGGGCAGGGUGAGUCGACCCCUAAGGCGAGGCCGAAAGGCGUAGUCGAUGGGAAACGGGUUAAUAUUCCCGUACUUGGUGUUACUGCGAAGGGGGGACGGAGAAGGCUAUGUUGGCCGGGCGACGGUUGUCCCGGUUUAAGCGUGUAGGUGUGUGUUCCAGGUAAAUCCGGUUCACUUUAACACUGAGGCGUGAUGACGAGGCACUACGGUGCUGAAGCAACAAAUGCCCUGCUUCCAGGAAAAGCCUCUAAGCAUCAGGUAACAUCAAAUCGUACCCCAAACCGACACAGGUGGUCAGGUAGAGAAUACCAAGGCGCUUGAGAGAACUCGGGUGAAGGAACUAGGCAAAAUGGUGCCGUAACUUCGGGAGAAGGCACGCUGACAUGUAGGUGAAGUGAUUUACUCAUGGAGCUGAAGUCAGUCGAAGAUACCAGCUGGCUGCAACUGUUUAUUAAAAACACAGCACUGUGCAAACACGAAAGUGGACGUAUACGGUGUGACGCCUGCCCGGUGCCGGAAGGUUAAUUGAUGGGGUCAGCGCAAGCGAAGCUCCUGAUCGAAGCCCCGGUAAACGGCGGCCGUAACUAUAACGGUCCUAAGGUAGCGAAAUUCCUUGUCGGGUAAGUUCCGACCUGCACGAAUGGCGUAAUGAUGGCCAGGCUGUCUCCACCCGAGACUCAGUGAAAUUGAACUCGCUGUGAAGAUGCAGUGUACCCGCGGCAAGACGGAAAGACCCCGUGAACCUUUACUAUAGCUUGACACUGAACAUUGAGCCUUGAUGUGUAGGAUAGGUGGGAGGCUUUGAAGUGUGGACGCCAGUCUGCAUGGAGCCGACCUUGAAAUACCACCCUUUAAUGUUUGAUGUUCUAACGUGGACCCGUAAUCCGGGUUGCGGACAGUGUCUGGUGGGUAGUUUGACUGGGGCGGUCUCCUCCUAAAGAGUAACGGAGGAGCACGAAGGUUGGCUAAUCCUGGUCGGACAUCAGGAGGUUAGUGCAAUGGCAUAAGCCAGCUUGACUGCGAGCGUGACGGCGCGAGCAGGUGCGAAAGCAGGUCAUAGUGAUCCGGUGGUUCUGAAUGGAAGGGCCAUCGCUCAACGGAUAAAAGGUACUCCGGGGAUAACAGGCUGAUACCGCCCAAGAGUUCAUAUCGACGGCGGUGUUUGGCACCUCGAUGUCGGCUCAUCACAUCCUGGGGCUGAAGUAGGUCCCAAGGGUAUGGCUGUUCGCCAUUUAAAGUGGUACGCGAGCUGGGUUUAGAACGUCGUGAGACAGUUCGGUCCCUAUCUGCCGUGGGCGCUGGAGAACUGAGGGGGGCUGCUCCUAGUACGAGAGGACCGGAGUGGACGCAUCACUGGUGUUCGGGUUGUCAUGCCAAUGGCACUGCCCGGUAGCUAAAUGCGGAAGAGAUAAGUGCUGAAAGCAUCUAAGCACGAAACUUGCCCCGAGAUGAGUUCUCCCUGAGACUUUAAGUCUCCUGAAGGAACGUUGAAGACGACGACGUUGAUAGGCCGGGUGUGUAAGCGCAGCGAUGCGUUGAGCUAACCGGUACUAAUGAACCGUGAGGCUUAACCUUACAACGCCGAAG
rnacentral:rRNA from 1 species